rnacentral:rRNA from 1 species
GAUGAACGCUGGCGGCGUGCUUAACACAUGCAAGUCGAACGGAAAGGCCCUGCUUUUGUGGGUUGCUCGAGUGGCGAACGGGUGUGUAACACGUGAGUAUCCUGCCCUUGACUUUGGGAUAACUUCAGGAAACUGGGGCUAAUACCGGAUAUGAGCUCCUGCUGCAUGGUGGUGGUUGGAAAGUUUCGGCGGUUGGGGCUCGACUCGCAGGUUAUCAGCUUGUUGGUGGGGUAGUUGCUUACCAAGCCUGCGACGGAUAGCCGGCCUGGGAGGGUGGACGGGGACCAGGGGCCUGCGAGAGGGCGCAGUCUGCAACGGUAGGCAGUAGGGGGAAGCAUGACGGAAUAGGGGGAAGCGAGAUACGAAGAUGUCGCGUGCGUAAAAACCGGCUAUGAGUGAAAAACAGCUUUCGACGGAGACGAGGAGGGAGUGACGGUAAUUAGUAAAGAAGCAACGGCUAACUACGUG